UACGAAGGGGACUAGCGUUGUUCGGAAUCACUGGGCGUAAAGCGCACGUAGGCGGAUAUGUCAGUCAGGGGUGAAAUCCCGGGGCUCAACCUCGGAACUGCCCUGGAUACAGCAUAUCUUGAGUCCGAUAGAGGUGGGUGGAAUUCCUAGUGUAGAGGUGAAAUUCGUAGAUAUUAGGAAGAACACCGGUGGCGAAGGCGGCCCACUGGAUCGGUACUGACGCUGAGGUGCGGAAGCGUGGGGAGCAAACAGG
rnacentral:rRNA from 1 species